CCUACGGGUGACAGCAGUGGGGAAUAUUGGGCAAUGGAGGCAACUCUUACCCAGCAAUGCCGCGUGAGCGAUGAAGGCCUUCGGGUCGUAAAGCUCUGUCCUCAAGGAAGAUAAUGACGGUACUUGAGGAGGAAGCCCCGGCUAACUACGUGCCAGCAGCCGCGGUAAUACGUAGGGGGCUAGCGUUAUCCGGAAUUACUGGGCGUAAAGGGUGCGUAGGUGGUUUCUUAAGUCAGAGGUGAAAGGCUACGGCUCAACCGUAGUAAGCCUUUGAAACUGGGGAACUUGAGUGCAGGAGAGGAGAGUGGAAUUCCUAGUGUAGCGGUGAAAUGCGUAGAUAUUAGGAGGAACACCAGUUGCGAAGGCGGCUCUCUGGACUGUAACUGACACUGAGGCACGAAAGCGUGGGGAGCAAACAGGAUUAGAUACCCCUGUAGUC
rnacentral:rRNA from 1 species